rnacentral:rRNA from 1 species
CUACGUGCCAGCAGCCGCGGUAAUACGUAGGUGGCAAGCGUUGUCCGGAAUUAUUGGGCGUAAAGCGCGCGCAGGUGGUUUAAUAAGUCUGAUGUGAAAGCCCACGGCUCAACYGUGGAGGGUCAUUGGAAACUGUUAAACUUGAGUGCAGGAGAGAAAAGUGGAAUUCCUAGUGUAGCGGUGAAAUGCGUAGAGAUUAGGAGGAACACCAGUGGCGAAGGCGGCUUUUUGGCCUGUAACUGACGCUGAGGAGCGAAAGCGUGGGGAGCGAACAGGAUUAGAUACCCUGGUAGUCCACGCCGUAAACGAUGAGUGCUAGGUGUUAGACCCUUUACGGGGUUUAGUGCCGCAGCUAACGCAUUAAGCACUCCGCCUGGGGAGUACGACCGCAAGGUUGAAACUCAAAGGAAUUGACGGGGGCCCGCACAAGCGGUGGAGCAUGUGGUUUAAUUCGAAGCAACGCGAAGAACCUUACCAGGUCUUGACAUCCCUCUGACCGCUCUAGAGAUAGAGUUUUC